ACACGGGUGAGUAACACGUGACUAACCUACCCUGGAGUGGGGAAUAACUGAGGGAAACCUUAGCUAAUACCGCAUAAUACCUACGGGUCAAAGGAACAAUUCGCUUCAGGAGGGGGUCGCGGCCGAUUAGUUAGUUGGCGGGGUAAUGGCCCACCAAGACAGUGAUCGGUAUCCGGCCUGAGAGGGCGCACGGACACACUGGAACUGAAACACGGUCCAGACUCCUACGGGAGGCAGCAGUGGGGAAUUUUGCGCAAUGGGGGAAACCCUGACGCAGCAACGCCGCGUGGAGGAUGAAGCCCCUUGGGGCGUAAACUCCUUUCGACCAAGACGAUUAUGACGGUACCUGCAGAAGCAGCUGCGGCUAACUACGUGCCAGCAGCCGCGGUAAUACGUAGGCAGCAAGCGUUGUUCGGAGUUACUGGGCGUAAAGGGUGUGUAGGCGGCUUUUUAAGUUUGGUGUGAAAUCUCCCGGCUCAACCGGGAGGGUGCGCCGAAUACUGAGAGGCUAGAGUACGGGAGAGGAAAGUGGAAUUCCUGGUGUAGCGGUGAAAUGCGUAGAUAUCAGGAGGAACACCGGUGGUG
rnacentral:rRNA from 1 species